rnacentral:rRNA from 1 species
UACAGAGGUGGCGAACGUUGUUCGGAUUUACUGGGCGUAAAGGGUCCGCAGGCGGUCCGAUGUGUCGGAUGUGAAAGCUCACAGCUCAACUGUGGAAUUGCAUUCGAAACUGCCGGACUAGAGUACUGGAGGGGAGAAGGGAACACAUGGUGUAGCGGUGAAAUGCGUAGAUAUCAUGUGGAACACCGGCGGCGAAGGCGCUUCUCUGGACAGAUACUGACGCUCAUGGACGAAAGUUAGGGUAGCGAAAGGG